GGCUGGUCUGAUGGCAGUGAGUUAUCAGAACUUAUUAACAUUAGUGUCACUAAAGUUGGUAUACCACCCCCCCCACUGCUAAAUUUGACUGGCUUUAA
rnacentral:Y_RNA from 1 species